rnacentral:lncRNA from 1 species
AGGCUGUGGCUUGCCUUUUCACUUCUUGUGUCCUGUUUAAGAAAUAUCUGCUAUCCCAAGAUUGCAAACUCCUAGAGAAGGGCUCAACAGUGAGUGCUGAGGCUGCACAGAGGAGGAAGGCAGCACAAUGAUGGAAGGCUUCCUAAAGAGAUAACACUAACAAAGUUGACCUUAGAAUUGGAGUGCCUGGGUUAGAACCCUGCUGGUACCACCUGCUUACUGCAUGCUUCUGAUGUGAGUUCAGGAGAAGACACUGGCAAGGACAGCAAAGAACAGGAGAACACUCUAGCUUCCCUGAUAGCAUUCAAGGUGCUGUCCAAAGCUCUUGAGUUUCUGCUUUCAAGUGACCCUCAGAAAUUCCUCCAUUCACUGCAGAGGUUCUGUUUCUCCUUGCUUUGUUCUGACUUUACGGCAGAACUAAGCUAAUGAGUUAGUUACUAUGGGUUAUCACUUGGAUUUGAAGAACCAUCAUUUCUAGGCAUUGCUGCUCAGAGUGGGUCUGCCCUCAGGGGAAGCUGUCUAACCAGAGCCUAACCCACUAGGGUUUUAUCAGAACCUAACUGACCUGAGGAAAAGAAAUACUCAACUCCAGCAAGCUCCAGCCUUCCAAAUGGAGGAGGAGAAAACCCAACUCCAGCCCACUUCAGCUAUCUUGUCCCACAUAAAGGGGAAGUGGAAGAAACCUGAGAAGCAGGCAUGAAGUUCACAGUCCAGAGGUACAGACACAUCAGAGUUCAGUAUCUGAUGAAUUAGAUGCAAAAACCUCAACAAAGUAUUAGCAAAUUGAAUUCAACAAUGUAUGAAAAUUAUUACAUGCCAUGACUAAUUGGAAUUUAUCUCAGGUAUACAAGCCACGCUGAACAUCUGAAAAUCAAUUCAUGUGAUCCAUCACAUUAGCAGACUCAAGAAAAAAAACCACAUUAUCAUAUCAGUAGAUGUAGAAAAAAAAAAUUAACAAAA